GCGCGCUUAACUCAGAGGCAGAGUGUCGGACUCCUAAUCCGGCGGUCGCGGGUUCGAUCCCCGCAUCGCGCA